rnacentral:rRNA from 1 species
AGUGAACGCUGGCGGUAGGCCUAACACAUGCAAGUCGAACGGCAGCACAGUAAGAGCUUGCUCUUACGGGUGGCGAGUGGCGGACGGGUGAGGAAUACAUCGGAAUCUACUUUUUCGUGGGGGAUAACGUAGGGAAACUUACGCUAACACCGCAUACGACCUACGGGUGAAAGCAGGGGAUCUUCGGACCUUGCGCGAUUGAAUGAGCCGAUGUCGGAUUAGCUAGUUGGCGGGGUAAAGGCACACCAAGGCGACGAUCCGUAGCUGGUCUGAGAGGAUGAUCAGCCACACUGGAACUGAGACACGGUCCAGACUCCUACGGGAGGCAGCAGUGGGGAAUAUUGGACAAUGGGCGCAAGCCUGAUCCAGCCAUACCGCGUGGGUGAAGAAGGCCUUCGGGUUGUAAAGCCCUUUUGUUGGGAAAGAAAAGCAGCAGGUUAAUACCCCGCUGUUCUGACGGUACCCAAAGAAUAAGCACCGGCUAACUUCGUG